GCGCGGGCCUCCGACCCCGCCCCCCGCCCCCCGCGCUCCGCGCUCCGGCGCCUCGGGUCGGUGGUCCCGGGAGGCGUGGGCUUCCGAAUGAGAAAGGAGCUGGAGGGGGACCCGGGGAGAAAGGUUGUCGCAGCUCUAGAGUGAGGGGAAGAGAAAGAGCAGUGGAAUGCUGGAGCCAGCUUGCACAGGCUAACAAGAAUGAAGUAUGAACUUGUCUUCCCAACUGUUCGUUCAGUGACAUCACAUGAUAGAUUGAAAUCAGCUGUCAUGGGACUUUGUUCACCAAGGAUUUGUUUGUGGAACAGAUGCCAGCUGAUCCAAUUGCAUUGCUAGUUGCACCGGGAAUGAUGGUUUUACAGGAUGGUUGUGGAACAGUUCUGAG